rnacentral:tRNA from 1 species
GCCUGGGUGGCUCAGUCGGUUAAGCGUCCGACUUCGGCUCAGGUCAUGAUCUUGCGGUCCGUGGGUUCGAGCCCCGCAUCGGGCU